rnacentral:rRNA from 1 species
AUUUAGAGGAAGUAAAAGUCGUAACAAGGUUUCCGUAGGUGAACCUGCGGAAGGAUCAUUACCUAGAGUUGUAGGCUUUGCCUGCUAUCUCUUACCCAUGUCUUUUGAGUACCUUACGUUUCCUCGGUGGGUUCGCCCACCGAUUGGACAAACUUAAACCCUUUGCAGUUGAAAUCAGCGUCUGAAAAAACUUAAUAGUUACAACUUUCAACAACGGAUCUCUUGGUUCUGGCAUCGAUGAAGAACGCAGCGAAAUGCGAUAAGUAGUGUGAAUUGCAGAAUUCAGUGAAUCAUCGAAUCUUUGAACGCACAUUGCGCCCCUUGGUAUUCCAUGGGGCAUGCCUGUUCGAGCGUCAUUUGUACCUUCAAGCUCUGCUUGGUGUUGGGUGUUUGUCUCCUGUAGACUCGCCUUAAAACAAUUGGCAGCCGGCGUAUUGAUUUCGGAGCGCAGUACAUCUCGCGCUUUGCACUCAUAACGACGACAUCCAAAAGUACAUUUUUACACUCUUGACCUCGGAUCAGGUAGGGAUACCCGCUGAACUUAAGCAUAUCAAUAAG